UGGUGGGAGUUGUAGGCUGCCAUUUGUAGGCGGAGGGCUGCCAUUUGAGAGGCCUGCUCUAAUUGUUUUGUAAAACCAUCUGAGCUAACUGGUUAAAGUGGCCUCCGCUUUAAAAACCAUUCUUGGGCUCUUGCAGGAAAAGGAACAUCUCCCUUUUGGCCAUGCACGAUCCUGCAGUUUCAUAGGACUGGAGGGAACAAGGGAAGAGGAAAAGCAGGAGCUAUUUGCAUACUCCCAAGGCUGAAUUUGGAGCGGGCCAGUAGGUUGGCUGUGUGCCACUGAAUUUCUUACAUUAAAGCCUUAUUUCGGUUUUGAUAUACAGGAAACCCUCGUUAUCUGCAGUUCUGAGGAUUGUGGUUUAAUGUAUCUGCGGAUGGGUAUUAGAGACCCAGUUUCUUUAUCUGUGGCAUGAAAUGUGGGCAAUUUUUGCCUGAGUGGCCAGAAAUGACUUCUGAUGUAAUUUCUGGUUGCCAUCUUGAAGCACAGAACCAUUUUGUGGCUUUUUUUUUUGUUAAAAAAUUUUUAAAAUGAAAAAUAAGAGGGGGGCAUUUCUGAAGACCUGAAGAACAAGGUUCUAUGCUUUUUUACCCUUAUUUCUCCUCCCUUCCUGCUUUUUUUGGACAUUCUUUUGAGUAAGGCACCUAACCCCUGGAUUUCCAUAGGGACAGAGAUGCAUUGGCAGGGCGGCAAGUGGAACGCGGCAGUAUCAUUGUUGGUCACAUGAAGGGCCUCGGGGAGAAGGAAAAGGAGCUCACAUCAUGCCUGGAGCCUAUACAGAACCAAACCCCAUACAGCUACUCAAAACAGAGGACUGUCCGGGUCAAAUGAGGAUGCAUGGCCACCUUAGCGGUCACAGAUUUGGUGUUUUGUUUACCUAUAUCAUAAAAUGUUGUUAGGCUUUGGAUCUGUAGGAGGAUCUUGCUUUCUGUAACAAGCAAGCUCAGGAGAGGCGUUUCGGGAUCAAUUCCCUUAGAAGCAAUGGAAUCCAAUAGUGCUUGCUUGAAAAUACUUUUAGCCACUUAUUUGCAGAAGUUUAUUGGCAGGAUUGGCCAGCAGCAGAUGAACAGCAGAAUUUGCUGGAAUUGUUUGCCAUUUGCCUGUAUCCUUCAGGACAGACAGAUCAGUGGCAAUAUCUCUACCAUAAAUCUCUCUUCAUUCAUGCCGCCUCCCUUUCCCUUGUUCCUGCUGCUGCUCCUGGGCUGUAGCACUGCAGCUCAAGCAGUGCUAUUAUGGGUUUUAUCUAUAGAGUUGGGGUGAAACCCCCACACACACAUUUUUUGCCCCAUUUGCAAGUCUGAAAUGUGAGCAUUUUGGAAAUUGGACAGGGGGGCAGUGGUGGUGAAGGAGGGCCUUUCUGGGGGGAACAAUACUCCUCUUCACCACUGGCAGCCAGCAUUUUCCCCCAAAGUCCCCCAGAAACAAUGCUGUGUUGUCACGCAAUAUAGUUCCCAGGGACUUCUGAGGAAAGUAAUACAGCUGUCACCAGAGGGAGGCAUGCCACUGUGCAAAAUUGGUUGUGACAGCCCCAAAAAGUGAGCCUGAGGACAGUGUUCUUUGUAACAGGAAUUCCCAGGUGUGGUUGACUAUAAUGCCUAUCUUCCCUGGCUGCAGAGGCCUUCGGUUGGGGACUAUGGGAGUUGUAAUCAACAUCUGGGGAUCCUUGUUACAGGGAACACUGCCUGGGGGGUAGUUGGAGUGCAGCUUUUGCCCCCUCCCAGAUUUUGAACUGGAAGUCCUUGGGCAACCUUUGUCUUGCCUUGGUCCUUUACAUCCCCAAGUGACCACAAUUGAGGUAGUGCAUUUAUUGCAGGGCUAUUCUUUCCAUCGUCUGCAAAGAGCACCUUGAUAUUCAAUAGCCGACAUGCCUCUUGCAUCUUGAAAGGGCUGGGGGCCAAACCAGAGAUGCUGUUUAUUUGAAAGGCAGAUGCAAAUCUAUUAACCAAAUAAAAGUACAUAAAUGAAAUAUGAAACUGCCUUAACUCAGUGAAGAGCCCAGUCCUGCCUCCUCCAACAGGCAGUGGCCCUCCGAGGUCUCAAAUAGGAGUUUUCCUCAGCCUCGCUGCUUGAGAGCCUCACAUCUAGGGCCAACAGAGACUGAACUUGGGAACCUGCAUGCAAAGUAUAUGCCCCCUCGCUGCAAAGUGGCUGUGCUGCUGCCCCCUCACAGCCCCCUCACUCACUGCAAAGUGGGUGCAAAACUUAAAAUCUCCACCUUUUCCCCCUCUUUCUUUUUUACUGGCUCUGCUACUGUUGCUUUAACCACCACAUAGACAUUUAACAGACGGUGUUUUCCCUACCAGAUUUCCAUGCUAGAGAAAGCUUCUCCUGCUGAAAUGGGCAAAGAGGCACCCAGAGAGUUGCCCUGCUAACUGGGCAAAGAGGCACCUUUUAAAAGUGGUGAUUCUCUCUAAUUGGCAUGGGGAGAGCAACUGGCCCUAUCCAUCCCCAACACAACAUCCCCAGUGACUGCUGCUGGUGUCUGUCUUAUGUUUCUUCUUAGAUUGUGAGCCCUUUGGGGACAGGGAGCGAUCUCAUUAAUUCAUUCAUUUCUCUGUGUAAACCAUUUUGGAAACUUUUGUUGAAAAGCAGUAUAUAAAUAUUAUAGUAGUUGUAGUAGUUGAACAUCUGUGUAUUAGGGUGCAGGGGCAUAGCCAAAAUUGAAGACGAAGGGACAAAUGUCCCUGGGCCCCUAAGGGAGAGGGCCCCGCAAGAUGGGUGACCACUUGCGGUUUGCUCUCCCCCUUGCACCUUUCUGAAAAGAAGCCAGGGGAGGGCAGGGGCCCUGCUUCCCUUUUGUGUCCCAGGGCCCACUCCAACCUUGCUAUGCCCUUGUUAGGGUGCUGUUAAAGCCACAGGAACAAGGCCAGGGGAAAAGAUGGCAAGCCUAGCAGCCCUUGGGUAGAGGGCCCCAUGGCUUGUGUAUUCUAACUCUUUUCAGGUGACAUUUGAACAGGGGUGGGGAAGCAUGAGGUUGCACACAGCCCACUUCCAUGUGUUUAAUUUAAAUCCAAAAGAGCUCCCACAUGUACAAUUCUGUGGCUAAUAGCCUGACUAAUAUUGUGCUUGUGCAAUCAACAAGUUGUGCUACAUCAUGUGGGUACAGAGAAUUGUGCUGUUGUGCAAACAUUACCCAUAAAACAUAUGAGGCAUGCCACGGGUUGUGCAUCUUGUUGUUCAAGGGCAAACGUAUUUGUGUCAAUGCAACACUAGCCUGGGAUGCAAGCUCCACACUAGUGCAACCAGCCAGUGCAGCAGACUUGUGCUAGCACCAUGUCCUUGUGCAAAUACAGCCUUUGUUAGGAUGUCAGCCUAUGGGUGGAGCAGAGGGCUCUCUCUUGCAGUCAGGGUCCUUGCUUUGUUCUGAAAAGGAAAAGUGUCUUGACGAAUCAGUUGCUGCCAACUGCUGGUUCCCAUCCAAUUCUUCUGCACCAGUCAAGAGGGAAACACGUUUUCAAGAAAUAACUACUAUUCAGUUUCAGCACUUUGAAAGAAACAUCUUGUUUCCCAUCACAAUAAGAGCCCUACAGGUUCAGAUUGGAAGCAUGUGCUUAUCACAUGUGUCAACACUACGUGAAAUUUGUAACAAGCACAAGGUCUUGUUUCACGCUGCAUGUUGGCAAUUUGUCCUGGGCACUUGGGAAACAGACUGAAGCGCCUCUUCCUCCCACCGACCACUAACUCAGCCUUCCUACUCCGGCAUGUGCUGUCCUGUCCCCACUGGAUUCAACAGGCCUCCUUAAGCCUUCUGAGAGCCACAGGCGUGACCCAGAGCUCAGGAAAGUGUGCCCUGCUACGUGACGUUAUCCACAGCAGGAGCUGACUCCUGUUUACAAAGCUCAAGGCUGCUGCACGAGUGACCAUCAAGAAUGUGGACUCCUUGUACACUCGGUAACUGGAGGAGCAGUAACUGGAGGAACAAAAAAACAUGCAUUUAUUCACAUCUUCUUUGCCCCCGGCUUGUGACCAUUAUAACCCGAAUCAUUUGCAUUCCCCAGGGAAAGAACAUGGAGCCUGAAUGUGUUGACAGACACAUAACCUCCAGCAAAAAGGAGAGCAUUCUUGUGUGCUUGUAACACCCUAUUACCACCCCAGGAAAAUAAAUAUCUGGGCUUCCAUACUCUGUUAUUACACACGGCUGAAGGCUCAUCUUGACCUGAUGUCCAUUUAUGAUGCAAUAACCUGU